ensembl:snRNA U1 U1 spliceosomal RNA
AUACUUAUCUGAUCAAAGAGACAUCAUAAUCAUGAAGGUGUUUUUCCCAGGGCAAGGUCCAUCCAUUGCAUUCCAGAUGUCUGAGAUUUCCCCCAAAUGUGGGGAACUAGCCUUCAUAUUUUGUUGUAAUGAGAGAAUGCAUUGAUGCUCUCCCUUA